GGCCUGGCCGGAUGGUCCACCUAACGGUGUUGUACUGUCUGGCCGGGCCUUACCUCUUGGUGAGCCGGCGUGCCCUUUACUGGGUGCGUCGGGGAACCAGGACUUUUACCUUGAGAAAAUUAGAGUGUUCAAAGCAGGCAAUCGAGCCUUGAAUACUUCAGCAUGGGAUAAUGGAACAGG
rnacentral:rRNA from 1 species